UGGUGAAGUUUUAUACUGUUGCACAGGGACGAUCAAAUGUUUUGCAAAAUCAGAAGUGUUUUUCAGACUGGAGUCUGGGGAGAGAAUUAGUUUUCUGCCAAUUCUAUUUUAUAAUACUUCUCCAAUUUCCAGCGUGUGAAAAGGAUACUGAUCCAGAAAGAGCCUCCACUGCUAGAAUGAAUGAAGCGUGCUGAAAACCAGAGCGUAACACGGCCAUUCCAAGACGGAACAACCAACUAACUACCCACCGUUAACAGUAAAGAAAGAAAACAACCAGUAAGAGAUUAUAUAGGCCUAAGAGAUGUUAUAGACCUAAGAAGAACCUACGGAGGAAGACAGGAAGGUGAGAGAGAUUUGAAGAUGGUAUGCAGCUGAUUUUGAAGAUAAAGAAGGGAAUCACAAGCCAAAGAAUGCAAGAGGUUUUUAGAAGCUGGAAAAGGCAAGAACAGUCUCUCAUCAAGCUCCAGCAGGAACGCAGUUGUGACACCUUGAGUUUAGCCUAGUGAGACUUCUGACCUCCAGAACUAGAAGACAGAAGUGAGUUUUAAGACACUAAAAUGAAGAACUAGAAGUAUUGUUUUAAGCCUAUAAAUGUGUGAUAAUCAGUUACAGUAGUAAUGGGAAAUGAAUAUACAAGCAUAAGAAGUAAACUUAUCCUGUGGUUAUUUUCCAUAGUUUUUCAGUUAUUUUCUGCCUUUUAAAGACAUUUAAUUAUAAAAUGAAUAUAUAUUAGUUCAGGAAUACAAUUUAAAAUGUAGGAAUGCUAUAAAAGAAGAAAAAAUCUUAAUUGGGCUAAAGCGAACCCAGUAUGUCAUCCUAUUACAUCAGCUUCUUCAUCUUUGGAUGAAGAGGUUGAUGCCUGUUUCUUCUAAUGUGAAAAUGCUCCAGAUUGCUAACUUGUUCCGAAUUUGACAAGGUGAUAGAGGAAAGAAAAAUGAAAUAUCAAAAAUACUUACUGUCUCCUUGCUCAGUGGAUAACACAUGGCUUCCUGAUUGGACGAUGAUUCCUCUUGCUUUGAUCUGAAGACAGAGGCAAAUAUGUUCAUUAUUGUUUUAAACAAUUUAACAAUAAGCAUUUUAACCUAACUUUAAAACAGUCAUGAUAUAUUGGUGACCCAUAAUUUUAUUACCCCAACCUAUUUUGCUCACUGAGCUUCCUUUUCAAUAUCUUCAUUUAUGUGUCUUCACCUACUUUAAAUAAAAAAUAUAUAAUUUUAUAAUGUUUUACUAUUUAAAGUUUUUCACUCCUAAUAAAUGUAUUAUAUGUAAAUAUGUAAACAAAAUUUAUGCAGUUUUUUAACAAACAUUUCAAACAUCUACCUUAUGCAAAUAUAUAGUGAAGGCAGACAUAAAGUAUACAUAAAUAUUCUCUAUUAUUGCCUCUAUUUUUAAAAAACUAAAUAUAUUGAGCAUUUUCUAUAUGCCAGGAACUUAAGUAAUUUAAUAUUAACUUGUUUAAUUUACACUAUAAUUCCAUGAAGUAGGUAUUAAUAUUAUCUACAGGACUAAGUUGAGAUGACUGACAUUUCUCUUUCCAGAUGAAAUUAGUAAACUAUCCAAGGUCAUAUAUCUAGGAAACAAUAAACCUAGAAAAUUCAAAUUUAUUGUUAAUUUUUCUAUUUUUCAUGGAAUUAAGAAAAUGUUAUUGAUAAUUAAUCCUCUUAUACAGAAUUUCCUAUAUUUAACUUUUUCUUCUUAAAAUGACUUAGUUAAGUUUUAGCCUUGGACAUUUUAAAUUUUGGGGCAUUCAUAGGAAUAUUGGCCUCAAAUGUAUCAUUCCAACUUAUAGUCUGCCUGCUAAUAUACCUUUUCCCUGCAAUCACACCAGUCAUGAGCUUUGUAAAAUAAUUAGAAUUGAAUAUUUUUCCAGAAACUUGUUUAUAAGUUUUGCUUCCUUUUGAAUUCAUUCAUGGUUCCCAGCCUUUGGUUAUUUAUCUACUGAGUUCUAAGAAAAAUUUUUCUGUUGGACUAAAAUUAUUUUAUCCUCGGCUCUUUCCUCUCCUGCUCAAUGAGUUGCCAUUGGGACUAUGGAAGGAAAAAUUCUGAAAGUUUCAGUGGUGACCAGAGCGUAGAGGAGAUAUUAAAGUGUUCAGACUUGUUAGGAAGUAACUUCUCUUCAAGCAUAAAACAACAAAAAAUGUAUUAUUGAUAUCUUGUAAAUGACAUCACUUAGACAGGAACCCAGCAAUUUUGGAGUCUACGCAGUCAGAAAGAGUUACAGUGGCUCUUAGUCUUACCAAAUAAUAGAAGGUGAAUUCUUUUUCAUCCUUGAGAAUCUGUUUAUUCAGGAGGUAAUGUGCUUGAAUCUCCUGGGUUUGUCCACAGGCCAAAGUACCCAUAAUAGGUUUAAGGUGAAUAUAAUUGUUGCUUGGGGAAACAAAAUGCUUUGCAACAAAGUGUGUUUGUGUAUGAAAUUCUUGAACCCACUGGUUAUCGAAACGUUUGUCAUUAUCUUUGUAUUUGACCUAAUGGAAGAAAGAAUAAAUAUAAAUGUUUUACAUACACACACACACACACACACACACACACACACACACAUAUACAUAAAGCGAUAUAAUAAAGCCAU